UCUUACAGAUGAACAAAGAAAAUGGUUUCUUGACAUGGAAUCCACUCCUGCUGAAAAUGCUGUGAA
rnacentral:pre_miRNA from 1 species